rnacentral:misc_RNA from 1 species
UGGUUCCGGCAUCGAUGAAGAACGCAGCGAAAUGCGAUAACUAAUGUGAAUUGCAGAAUUCAGUGAAUCAUCGAGUCUUUGAACGCACAUUGCGCCCCCUGGUAUUCCGGGGGGCAUGCCUGUCCGAGCGUCAUUGCUGCCCUCAAGCCCGGCUUGUGUGUUGGGCCCUCGUCCCCCGGCUCCCGGGGGACGGGCCCGAAAGGCAGCGGCGGCACCGCGUCCGGUCCUCGAGCGUAUGGGGCUUCGUCUUCCGCUGCGUAGGCCCGGCCGGCGCCCGCCGACGCAUUUAUUUGCAACUUGUUUUUUUCCAGGUUGACCUCGGAUCAGGUAGGGAUACCCGCUGA